UCUCCGUAGGUGAACCUGCGGAGGGAUCAUUACAGAGUUCAUGCCCUACCGGGUAGAUCUCCCACCCUAUGUUAUUAUCACUUUGUUGCUUUGGCGGACCGUUAGGCUCCGGCCCGACUACCGGCCCCGGCUGGUAAGCGCCCGCCAGAGGACCCAAAACCCUGAAUAUUAGUGUCGUCUGAGUACUAUAUAAUAGUUAAAACUUUCAACAACGGAUCUCUUGGUUCUG
rnacentral:misc_RNA from 1 species